UGAGCAACCUGCCCUUGACCCUGGAAUAACAGCUGGAAACAGCUGCUAAUACCGGAUACGACCUCCGAUGGCAUCAUCUGGAGGUGGAAAGCUCCGACGGUCAAGGAUGGGCUCGCGGCCUAUCAGCUUGUUGGUGAGGUAACGGCUCACCAAGGCUUCGACGGGUAGCCGGCCUGAGAGGGCGACCGGCCACACUGGGACUGAGAUACGGCCCAGACUCCGUAGGAG
rnacentral:rRNA from 1 species